UGGAGGGUAAACAGAAAAGUUCCAGCAAUCGGCGCCCCAGGGGCAUUUGGCACACAGCUUUAGACUUAACACAAGUUAAAAACUCCACUGGGCAUGUGCAGUGACAGAACUGAAGCAACUCAAGGUCUCCAAGGAGCCAUUAGAAGCCCAGUAAAAUAGACCUCGAUCACCUGGCUGGCUGCCAGAGCUUGAUGGUCCCCGGCCUCCGGAGCCUCUGCAAAACCAGGAAAAUGAAUGAGGAGUCAUUCAGAAACCUAAGGAGAAGGUCUAGGAGGGGCUGCUAGACCAGCCCGUGCUGCCGAGGACUGGUGUGGUGAAGGUAGUGAAGUUUUGUGGGAGCCCUGGGGAACU
rnacentral:lncRNA from 1 species